GCUUGCUUCGCCCGAUGAAAUUACUGAGUACGAAGCUGCAGUCGCAGAAGAGCGGCGGGUUGAGGACAUGCUGCAAGAUCGUUUUGAUGCCCGUGUUGAUGUUACUUCAUGGUGUGAAUGUGGCCAUUGUUCGUUGGAUCUUGUAGUCAACCCUCAAGAGUGCCGAUGCUGCAUGGAAAUAGAGCAAUGCCGUGGUAAAAUGUAUCAUAACGAAAUCGAUGAAAGGAAAUGCAUUUUGGAUCACUCUGGCAUUAACGAAGUUUGCCUGAACGAAUUUGUUCUUUAAAUAGCAGCUUCGUUAGGUUUAAAGCCAGUCAGGUUUAAAUCUUCUUUGUUCAUGCUGGACACAGACACUUCAAAUUGUAUUUCCUUUAAAACCUUAGUAUAAAUGUAUAUUAAAUAUUGGAAGUUUG